CUUUAAUAAUCGACUAUAUGCGUCGGCACCUGCUCUGGCGUCACGUCUGCCGGUAUAGUGAUUUCCUCGGUCUUACUCGGCACUUCCUCCGCAUACUCCUCGCUCACCAGAGACAAUAUCAGGGAGGUUUUACCGACGCCACGCUCACCGAUCAACAAUAUCCUGACGUUGCGCCGAGGCGCGACCGGACGCUACAUCUUGGCGUCGCUGACUGUCGUCUCAAACGACGGCGUUCUCAGUUCUUCACGAACGGCAUCUUCCGGAGGAGAUGCCUCGGUGACUGGACUAUAACCUAUAAAUGCACGCAGCCUCGGCGUGACUGUGUCAGCAUCACGUGACAUUUCAACGGCGACGAAACAACAACGCCGAUGUUGUUGCAAAACGAUGUUUCUUUUUUUUUCUCUCUCUGAUAUUUCGUGCCAUGAAAGAAUCACCCUAUAUACCCCACCUCAACACUUCAUCGAGAUGCUGAUUGCGCGAUCGUCGCGGUUGGAGACCAAGCGCAGCAAAUCUCGGCGGUUUCGACGGACUUAAAGUAAUAGCGCUUCGAGGGUGGUUUUUUCAAGGUUACCUAUGCCAUCGCAAUGAAUGGCUGUGUUCAGCAGAAAAAGCAGCUUAGUAAGCGCUUUAUGAUAUACUGCCAACAUUAAGAAAGUUCUGCUGAACGCUUAUUCUAAGGAGGAAGCGCUCAAAACUGUAAUUAUUUAAAUUUUGUUCAAAUAUAUUUAAUGAGAUAUUUAACGAGAUAUUAAUUUACGGGGCUCAGUGCUUAACGCUCGACUCAUAUCGAAGGAUGGCAGGUUCAAAGCGAGCUGGCCCCCUCGUCCUAUAUACUUGUUUCACGAUUUUUGAGAGUUUCUUUUGGAAACUUAAUAAAAAAUUUACAAUUCGAAGAUCAUAAAGCUGAAUCCAAAACUUAGCGCUUUUACCGCGCGGGAUCUCCAAAAUCGGCACGGUGGUCAAGAUUGAUAAUCCCUUUUGUCAAGAGAUGUUAUUUGAUAUAUCUCGAUGAACGGAAAAUAAUUUUCGUACACAUUGCAGUAACCGUAAUUGAUUACUCAACUCAUAGAAUGAGUUCUAAGCCUGAAAUCACGUUGGAACACUUUUAUAUUUUUUAAUAGCAUUUACGCAAA